rnacentral:rRNA from 1 species
UAACGCGUGGAUAAUCUGCCUUCAAGAUGGGGAUAACGGCUGGAAACGGUCGCUAAUACCGAAUAAGCUGUAGGUUUUGAAUUUACGGUAAAGAUGGCCUCUGCAUGCAAGCUAUCGCUUGAAGAUGAGUCCGCGUCCCAUUAGCUGGUUGGCGGGGUAACGGCCCACCAAGGCGACGAUGGGUAGCCGGUCUGAGAGGAUGAUCGGCCACACUGGGACUGGAACACGGCCCAGACUCCUACGGGAGGCAGCAGUGGGGAAUAUUGCGCAAUGGGCGAAAGCCUGACGCAGCGACGCCGCGUGAGGGAUGAAGGUCUUCGGAUCGUAAACCUCUGUCAGGAGGGAAGAAGUGGUUAUAUGCGAAUAGUGUAUGACUUUGACGGUACCUCCAAAGGAAGCACCGGCUAACUCCGUGCCAGCAGCCGCGGUAAUACGGAGGGUGCGAGCGUUAAUCGGAAUCACUGGGCGUAAAGCGCGCGUAGGCGGCUUUUCAAGUCAGGGGUGAAAUCCCACGGCCCAACCGUGGAACUGCCUUUGAAACUGUAGAGCUUGAGUGUCGGAGAGGGUGGCGGAAUUCCAGGUGUAGGAGUGAAAUCCGUAGAUAUCUGGAGGAACACCGGUGGCGAAGGCGGCCACCUGGACGACAACUGACGCUGAGGUGCGAAAGCGUGGGUAGCAAACAGGAUUAGAUACCCUGGUAGU